rnacentral:lncRNA from 1 species
UAUCCCCAUAUUCAUUGCAAAUAUUAACCAUUGAUUUUGUAGUUUAUUUGGGGAUAAGAAAUGAUUAAAAAAAAGAAGGACUGCUGCACAUCUCUCAAUGGAGACAACUAGACUUACACAAUCCUCCACCAACCUUUUCAAGUCAUCAUCCAUGAACAUACAUUAGAUUGUGCAUACUUCUUCCAUAUAUGUUUUCCAAAGAUGGUGCACUAGUCAAGCUUGCUCUACAUUGUAGGGCUUUACUUAUUUAUAUAUUUUAUAAAUUAUCAUAUUUUUGCCUCCAGCCAUGGAUAAAUGCACCCAGAAGGUGUUGUAGAAGCCUUCUAAACUUAUUUAUUAAUUAUUUUUAAUUUGUGCUUUGGUGUACCCUCCACACCCACUUGUGUAAAACCCACAAAUGCCAGGUUUACCCUCCACCUCAGCAACUAUUAAACUAAUUUGGGAAUGCUUCAAAGGUUGACCAAAUGAGUAGAACUUUUUUUAGCUGCUAUUCCACAACUUGCACCAUUCUACAGAGCCUUGCAUCCAAAUGUGCUGCAGAAUAGUAUUUUUGUGGAUUCACUUUCCUUGGCAUGCAAGAUUUCCUUCCUAAAUCCAUCAGAUCUUAAGAUUCUGUUGUCUUUGUAGAGGUUUCCUAUGGGUCAAGAUGGUCUUGCAGUAUUCCAUUCUUUGUUCUAAUUCCAUUGUAAAUGCUUCUUCCUCACUCAA